GGCGCAAGAACCCACAAGACCCUUUGCGACAAGUUCGCCCUCGUGGGCAUCAACGUCGUCAAGGCCGCCUCCUUUGUCCCCGUCAAGAUGACUCCCGGCUCACCGCCCGGCAGCACCGCCGGAGGUCCGCCCAUCGAGACUUCUCCGGGGCCGGCGCAGGAUCCCAAGGAUGGCCACAGCGUUGACCGCCAGGCCGAUGAGUUUAUACAGAAGUUCAGGCGUCAGAUCAGUCGACCCGAUCCGGGUGCAGCGGAUGAGGUUGUCCCUCCCCGAUCCCCGGCCUCUAACAGGAUUCGAACGAUUCCCGUGGGAUGAUUAGCUUACCUGAUUUUUUUGAUCCAGGGAUCAAAGAUUAGGCAUGUAUCAGCUUCUGGGAAGGACAAAUAAAGGCAAAGCCGCCGUUUCAGUUAAAAUAUAUCAAGUUUGGUUCAUCUUAUAUAUAUUAAAGUGUUGUUUGAGGGUCUUGUAUAAAUAACUUAAAUACUCGAAGUUGACUGCUAAAUUUGGAUGGUGAACCGUGUUAUAACUUCUGGCGUUGCGUUAAUAGCUUGUUUUGAUAUCACUAUUGUCUGUAUACAAAUUAUAUUAUUAUAAAGUAUUGCUGAAUUAUAUUAUUAAUCUCUAUAAGUGCACGACGGUUGUUA